rnacentral:piRNA from 1 species
UGCGAUUCGCUUGGUGGCUGCUUAGU